UACGUAGGGGGCAAGCGUUGCUCGGAAUUAUUGGGCGUAAAGGGCGCGUAGGCGGUUCGGUAAGUCUGUAGUGAAAUCUCUGGGCUCAACUCAGAGUCUGCUGCAGAAACUGCCGUGCUUGAGUGUGGGAGAGGUGAGUGGAAUUCCCGGUGUAGCGGUGAAAUGCGUAGAUAUGACAUAGAACAUCGAUUGCGAAGGCAGCUCGCUGCACUAUUAUUGACACUGAGGCACGAAAGCGUGGGGAUCAAACAGG
rnacentral:rRNA from 1 species